rnacentral:rRNA from 1 species
GACGUAGGGCGCGAGCGUUGUCCGGAUUUAUUGGGCGUAAAGAGCUCGUAGGCGGCUUGUCGCGUCGACUGUGAAAUCCCGCGGCUCAACUGCGGGUCUGCAGUCGAUACGGGCAGGCUAGAGUUCGGUAGGGGAGACUGGAAUUCCUGGUGUAGCGGUGAAAUGCGCAGAUAUCAGGAGGAACACCGAUGGCGAAGGCAGGUCUCUGGGCCGAUACUGACGUGAGGAGCGAAAGCGUGGGGAGCGAACAGG